UACGUAGGGUCCGAGCGUUGUCCGGAUUUAUUGGGCGUAAAGAGCUCGUAGGCGGCUCAGUAAGUCGGAUGUGAAAACUCGGGGCUCAACCCCGAGACGCCAUCCGAUACUGCUGUGGCUUGAGUCUGGUAGGGGAACACGGAAUUCCUGGUGUAGCGGUGAAAUGCGCAGACAUCAGGAGGAACACCAAUGGCGAAGGCAGUGUUCUGGGCCAGUACUGACGCUGAGGAGCGAAAGCGUGGGUAGCAAACAGG
rnacentral:rRNA from 1 species